GACGAACGCUGGCGGCGUGCUUAACACAUGCAAGUCGAACGGAAAGGCCCUGCUUUUGUGGGGUGCUCGAGUGGCGAACGGGUGAGUAACACGUGAGUAACCUGCCCUUGACUUUGGGAUAACUUCAGGAAACUGGGGCUAAUACCGGAUAGGAGCUCCUGCUGCAUGGUGGGGGUUGGAAAGUUUCGGCGGUUGGGGCUGGACUCGCGGCUUAUCAGCUUGUUGGUGGGGUAGUGGCUUACCAAGGCUUUGACGGGUAGCCGGCCUGAGAGGGUGACCGGCCACAUUGGGACUGAGAUACGGCGCAGACGCCUACGGGAGGCAGCAGUGGGGAAUAUUGCACAAUGGGCGGAAGCCUGAUGCAGCAACGCCGCGUGCGGGAUGACGGCCUUCGGGUUGUAAACCGCUGUCGCCUGUGACGAAGCGUGAGUGACGGUAAUGGGUAAAGAAGCACCGGCUAACUACGUG
rnacentral:rRNA from 1 species